rnacentral:rRNA from 1 species
GUCUAUUUGGAGAUAUAAAUAGUCUAGUCUGCCCACUGAUAGGUAAUUUAAAGGGCCGCGGUAUAUUGACCGUGCAAAGGUAGCAUAAUCAUUAGUUUUUUAAUUGGAAUCUCGUAUGAACGGCUGGACAAAAGAAAGUCUGUCUCUAUAGGGUUAUUGAAUUUAACUUUUGAGUGAAAAGGCUUAAAUAAAUUAAAAAGACGAUAAGACCCUAUAAAGCUUGACAUUAAUUGGAUAUUACACUGGAUUAUUUGGUUAUAAAGGUGUGUAAUGCAAUUUUUGUUUUAUUGGGGCGAUAGAGGUAAAAUUGUUGGUAACUGCUUAAAUUUUAUGACAGGAUAAGUGAAUAAUUAUUAUAAGAGAUCCCAAGAUAUGGAUUACAAGGUUAAGUUACUUUAGGGAUAACAGCGUAAUUUUUUUUAAGAGUUCUUAUCGAAAAAAAAGUUUGCGACCUCGAUGUUGAAUUAAAAUUUCUUUUCAAUUGCAGCAGUUGGAACAGAAGGUCUGUUCGACCUUUAAAUUUUU